rnacentral:rRNA from 1 species
GGUUAAGCGACUAAGCGUACACGGUGGAUGCCCUGGCAGUCAGAGGCGAUGAAGGACGUGCUAAUCUGCGAUAAGCGUCGGUAAGGUGAUAUGAACCGUUAUAACCGGCGAUUUCCGAAUGGGGAAACCCAGUGUGUUUCGACACACUAUCAUUAACUGAAUCCAUAGGUUAAUGAGGCGAACCGGGGGAACUGAAACAUCUAAGUACCCCGAGGAAAAGAAAUCAACCGAGAUUCCCCCAGUAGCGGCGAGCGAACGGGGAGGAGCCCAGAGCCUGAAUCAGUGUGUGUGUUAGUGGAAGCGUCUGGAAAGGCGCGCGAUACAGGGUGACAGCCCCGUACACAAAAAUGCACAUGCUGUGAGCUCGAUGAGUAGGGCGGGACACGUGGUAUCCUGUCUGAAUAUGGGGGGACCAUCCUCCAAGGCUAAAUACUCCUGACUGACCGAUAGUGAACCAGUACCGUGAGGGAAAGGCGAAAAGAACCCCGGCGAGGGGAGUGAAAAAGAACCUGAAACCGUGUACGUACAAGCAGUGGGAGCCUCUUUUAUGGGGUGACUGCGUACCUUUUGUAUAAUGGGUCAGCGACUUAUAUUCUGUAGCAAGGUUAACCGAAUAGGGGAGCCGAAGGGAAACCGAGUCUUAACUGGGCGUUAAGUUGCAGGGUAUAGACCCGAAACCCGGUGAUCUAGCCAUGGGCAGGUUGAAGGUUGGGUAACACUAACUGGAGGACCGAACCGACUAAUGUUGAAAAAUUAGCGGAUGACUUGUGGCUGGGGGUGAAAGGCCAAUCAAACCGGGAGAUAGCUGGUUCUCCCCGAAAGCUAUUUAGGUAGCGCCUCGUGAAUUCAUCUCCGGGGGUAGAGCACUGUUUCGGCAAGGGGGUCAUCCCGACUUACCAACCCGAUGCAAACUGCGAAUACCGGAGAAUGUUAUCACGGGAGACACACGGCGGGUGCUAACGUCCGUCGUGAAGAGGGAAACAACCCAGACCGCCAGCUAAGGUCCCAAAGUCAUGGUUAAGUGGGAAACGAUGUGGGAAGGCCCAGACAGCCAGGAUGUUGGCUUAGAAGCAGCCAUCAUUUAAAGAAAGCGUAAUAGCUCACUGGUCGAGUCGGCCUGCGCGGAAGAUGUAACGGGGCUAAACCAUGCACCGAAGCUGCGGCAGCGACACUAUGUGUUGUUGGGUAGGGGAGCGUUCUGUAAGCCUGUGAAGGUGUGCUGUGAGGCAUGCUGGAGGUAUCAGAAGUGCGAAUGCUGACAUAAGUAACGAUAAAGCGGGUGAAAAGCCCGCUCGCCGGAAGACCAAGGGUUCCUGUCCAACGUUAAUCGGGGCAGGGUGAGUCGACCCCUAAGGCGAGGCCGAAAGGCGUAGUCGAUGGGAAACAGGUUAAUAUUCCUGUACUUGGUGUUACUGCGAAGGGGGGACGGAGAAGGCUAUGUUGGCCGGGCGACGGUUGUCCCGGUUUAAGCGUGUAGGCUGGUUUUCCAGGCAAAUCCGGAAAAUCAAGGCUGAGGCGUGAUGACGAGGCACUACGGUGCUGAAGCAACAAAUGCCCUGCUUCCAGGAAAAGCCUCUAAGCAUCAGGUAACAUCAAAUCGUACCCCAAACCGACACAGGUGGUCAGGUAGAGAAUACCAAGGCGCUUGAGAGAACUCGGGUGAAGGAACUAGGCAAAAUGGUGCCGUAACUUCGGGAGAAGGCACGCUGAUAUGUAGGUGAAGCGACUUGCUCGUGGAGCUGAAAUCAGUCGAAGAUACCAGCUGGCUGCAACUGUUUAUUAAAAACACAGCACUGUGCAAACACGAAAGUGGACGUAUACGGUGUGACGCCUGCCCGGUGCCGGAAGGUUAAUUGAUGGGGUUAGCGGUAACGCGAAGCUCUUGAUCGAAGCCCCGGUAAACGGCGGCCGUAACUAUAACGGUCCUAAGGUAGCGAAAUUCCUUGUCGGGUAAGUUCCGACCUGCACGAAUGGCGUAAUGAUGGCCAGGCUGUCUCCACCCGAGACUCAGUGAAAUUGAACUCGCUGUGAAGAUGCAGUGUACCCGCGGCAAGACGGAAAGACCCCGUGAACCUUUACUAUAGCUUGACACUGAACAUUGAGCCUUGAUGUGUAGGAUAGGUGGGAGGCUUAGAAGUGUGGACGCCAGUCUGCAUGGAGCCGACCUUGAAAUACCACCCUUUAAUGUUUGAUGUUCUAACGUUGACCCGUGAUCCGGGUUGCGGACAGUGUCUGGUGGGUAGUUUGACUGGGGCGGUCUCCUCCUAAAGAGUAACGGAGGAGCACGAAGGUUGGCUAAUCCUGGUCGGACAUCAGGAGGUUAGUGCAAUGGCAUAAGCCAGCUUGACUGCGAGCGUGACGGCGCGAGCAGGUGCGAAAGCAGGUCAUAGUGAUCCGGUGGUUCUGAAUGGAAGGGCCAUCGCUCAACGGAUAAAAGGUACUCCGGGGAUAACAGGCUGAUACCGCCCAAGAGUUCAUAUCGACGGCGGUGUUUGGCACCUCGAUGUCGGCUCAUCACAUCCUGGGGCUGAAGUAGGUCCCAAGGGUAUGGCUGUUCGCCAUUUAAAGUGGUACGCGAGCUGGGUUUAGAACGUCGUGAGACAGUUCGGUCCCUAUCUGCCGUGGGCGCUGGAGAACUGAGGGGGGCUGCUCCUAGUACGAGAGGACCGGAGUGGACGCAUCACUGGUGUUCGGGUUGUCAUGCCAAUGGCACUGCCCGGUAGCUAAAUGCGGAAGAGAUAAGUGCUGAAAGCAUCUAAGCACGAAACUUGCCCCGAGAUGAGUUCUCCCUGACCCUUUAAGGGUCCUGAAGGAACGUUGAAGACGACGACGUUGAUAGGCCGGGUGUGUAAGCGCAGCGAUGCGUUGAGCUAACCGGUACUAAUGAACCGUGAGGCUUAACCUU